GCACCCGUGGACACCUGUUCAGCGAGACUUCUAAUCUUGAGGUCGCUGGUUCGAAUUCAGCCGGGCGCGCCA
rnacentral:tRNA from 1 species